rnacentral:rRNA from 1 species
GAUGAACGCUGGCGGCGUGCCUAAUACAUGCAAGUCGAGCGAACAGACGAGGAGCUUGCUCCUCUGACGUUAGCGGCGGACGGGUGAGUAACACGUGGAUAACCUACCUAUAAGACUGGGAUAACUUCGGGAAACCGGAGCUAAUACCGGAUAAUAUAUUGAACCGCAUGGUUCAUUAGUGAAAGACGGUUUUGCUUUCCCUUAUAGAUGGAUCCGCGCCGCAUUAGCUAGUUGGUAAGGUAACGGCUUACCAAGGCAACGAUGCGUAGCCGACCUGAGAGGGUGAUCGGCCACACUGGAACUGAGACACGGUCCAGACUCCUACGGGAGGCAGCAGUAGGGAAUCUUCCGCAAUGGGCGAAAGCCUGACGGAGCAACGCCGCGUGAGUGAUGAAGGUCUUCGGAUCGUAAAACUCUGUUAUUAGGGAAGAACAAAUGUGUAAGUAACUAUGCACGUCUUGACGGUACCUAAUCAGAAAGCCACGGCUAACUACGUG